rnacentral:rRNA from 1 species
GACGAACGCUGGCGGCGUGCCUAAUACAUGCAAGUCGAACGCACGUAUCCUCAGCUUUCUUCUCGGAUGUUAGCGUGGGACGCGUGAGUAACACACGGAUAUCCCCUCUCUCCUACUUGGGUAUCUUCGUCUAAACGGACUUCUUAUCGGGUGUUUUUUUUGGUCUCCUCGUUCGAUAUGGUAGAACGGUCUUUUUGUCAUUUGUAGUUGGCUCCCCGCUGCAUUAGCUAGUUGGUAAGGUAAGGGCGUACCAAGGCAACGAUGCAUAGACGACCUGAGAGGGUGAUCGGGCACACUGGAACUGAGAGACGGACAAGACUCCUACGGGAGGAAGCAGUAGGGAAUCUUCCGAAAUGGGAGAAAGCCUGACGGAGCAACGCCGCGUGAGUGAGGAAGGGCUGCGGAUCGUAAAACUCUGUUAUUAGGGAAGAACAGAUGUGUAAGUAACGGGGCACAUCGUGACGGUACCGAAUAAGAAAGCCACGGCUAACUACGUG